rnacentral:misc_RNA from 2 species
CAACCCUCAAGCUCUGCUUGGUAUUGGGCUACACCCGACUGGGUGGGCCUUAAAAUCAGUGGCGGUGCCAUCUGGCUCUAAGCGUAGUAAUUCUUCUCGCUCUGGAGAUCUAGGUGUUUGCUUGCCAGCAACCCCCAAUUUAUCAAA